CAGUGCUCCCCGCGCUGUUGCGCGUCACACCCGGCUCUCAGACACUGGCUCCGGGACACCGGCUACGCAACCACCCCCCUCCCGGUGACUGCUGGCCCAGGAACCCACGUUCGGGCAGCCCACACACCACCCGGCGUCCAGGACAUCCUCACCGGAAGUUGAUUUCUACCUAGGCCCGCCCAGGCCUGCGCGCGGCGCUCCAGGCAUCCGCGGGCGCAUCACAUGACCCCCCAAGAGGAGGCCAGCUGAGCCUCAUCUGAAGAGAGACCUGACCUGUGAAGUGGAUUGACCUGAUAUACACUGGCCUGACCAUCCUCAAAAACUACAUCAUGUCUUUAUCUUUUGUCCUGAGCCAAAACAAACUAUUCAACAGAUAUUCCUCCUAACAGAGAUUCAGCUGGCUAGGCCACAAGAAGAACCUCCUAGUUGAGUGAUUCUCAGGUAAUUGACUCUGCUAUAGAUUGGCUUCGACUUAACGCUUUUCCUGACCUUUCUCAAGAUCUACCUCCUAGUAAAGGUUCUCAAUCUCUCUUAGUGACAGGCCCAUAAAACCACCUACCAAAUCUGAAUUUUUCUUCUGUCCAGAACUCGAAUCUACCACGAGAAGAGCCUUUGCCUCUUACAAACAACCAAAAUGUGAGAACUGAAUAAAGCACCCGGCACUAUGACAUGCUCAAGAAAUGUUUGACGUGAUGUCUGGACCUAUCGGCUUAGCGGAACUCUCAAGUUCCUGAACGUGCCCAAGCUGAAAGCUUCUCUAAACCACUGGAUUUUAAAGAUCUUCAGCGCUAGGACUGUAGCACUUGUAAUCAACUCUCUCAUAGCAGUUCGUUCAUAUUCCACUAAAAACAGUUGUUUUUUAGCUGUUCCACAUCCUUACAGCAAAGCUGUCAGUCAACAUCUUUUCCUGAAGGGAAUAUGCCAUACACUUGGUGGCACCUCACUUUGUCUCCACACACUAGUCAUCCAUCUAAAGACACUAGCAUGGAGUUACCAAGUUCUGCUUAUGACCAUGGUGGCCCAGAUGCUGCUGGAGUUAUCCGCAGAAAUGGCAAGGAUCACAACAAAAGAUCCAAUUUUGGCCCAGCAGAGAGGAAACUUUUACCAACCGAUGGCCGCCCGAUGACCUGAAUGGAAAGAAUUGGUGGCCCCGGGAGAGCACACAAUUGAGAGAAGUGAUCACAUCACCAGAUGUGACGUCACAGUUUGGCACCAGCUGCCAUCCUGGGCACAGAGAAUGCACAGUCCACUCAAGUCUGAGCUUCCUCUCUGGAUUCCCCUGGGGUUCAGUACAGAGCACUGUACAGUGGUGUAACCUCUAUACUGGACUGAUGGAAAAACUAAGCUUGAAAUCUGUCAUGGAAUUACAGCAAGAACAAAAAGUGAAAUACGUUAUCUGAACUGUAUAAAAAGGGAGGUAUGUGAAAGUACCAGGAAGACUCAGAAUCUGAAGUGGUGAGAAUAUUGAAGGAAAGGUUCAAAUCUGAGCUGAUCUUACAGUCAAGGCAGACACCAUCAGUGGGAUGGUAGAGCAUACCUCGGACACCUCUCAAAGAGCAUGGCAGGAGUGGGGUGACUCACCACUCCCUACCCCAAUCAGGCUUGGGCCUACUCAACUUCAUAAAGACAAAGGACAUGUCAAGAUAAAGCCAGUUAGGCUUGUGUUUCCUGGCCAGAGAACUGGCUUCUCAGAAAUCAGGUAACUGGCAGUUUGUUAAUCUAGCUGUUACUCUUGGAAGGCCCUGCCCCCACUGCAGCACUCCCUACCUUAUCCAUUUGUCCUCUCCUCCCCCUGACUCUAGCUACAUAAGUAAGCCCCACUAUUUCAAUAAACAAACUGUCCUCUGAAACAGUCUCCCAGGUAGUUCAUAUCUGCUGCAUUCACCACCACCUGAGACCCUGCUUCCCAGCUCCUCCAAGUCCUGAGACCAUCACGUUUGCUUAUAUGGUAUAUUACAUUGACUGGGUUUUGUAUGUUGGAUUAUUUCUGCAUCUCUGGGAUUAAUUCUACUUGGUGGAUGAUCUUUUUGAUAUGUUCUUA
rnacentral:lncRNA from 1 species